CCGAAAGAUCGAAUGGGGAGAUUCAUCGUCGGCGUGGCACGGCGCUUGUGCGGUUCGCGAUGCCCGGGACUUCGGUCUCGCGGCACUCGUCCGCAUGGUUAUUUUGCCUGUCAUCGUCGGCGUGCACUUCUCCCCUAGUAGGACGUCGCGACCCGUUGGGUGUCGGUCUGCGGCCCGGGCGGUAGCCUGUCAUGUGUCACGGUUCAUCCCGUCAUGUGGCAGACCCCUGUGUGCCCGACCAGCUGCCCGGCGGUACUCGUACGGUAUCGAGCCGCAAUAUUUUUGGUUGCGUCCGGCCCGUCGCAAGCUUGGCGAGUGUUUUACCCGGAUGUUACGGACCUAGUGCCGUCACUGGGCCUAGCCAGCUGUUGGUUGACGGUGAUCUGGGACCGGCUCUAUAUUAUAUUGUGUAUAAUAAAUACCGGUCAGCGACGCUACAGCUUUGGGUACUUUCAGGACCCGUCUUGAAACACGGACCAAGGAGUCUAACAUGUGCGCGAGUCAUUGGGACAUAUGAAAGCCUAAAGGCGUAAUGAAAGUAAAGGUCGGCCUCGCGCCGACCGAGAGAGGAUGGGCCGCGUCACGAUGCGGUCCCGCACUCUCCCGGGCGUCUCGUUCUCAUUGCGAGAAGAGCGCACCCAGAGCGUACACGUUGGGACCCG
rnacentral:rRNA from 1 species